AGUUGAGGUACAGAGACAGCGUUCGCAGUCAGCUUGCUAGAGGACCUACACGGGCUCCUCAAGUUCCGCUGCUUCCUCCUCCAAGCUUGCUAGUAUUGAAAACCCAGGAGUUUGGGGUCAUUCAUCAGGAGGAUUCUGCUCCAGUUUGCCCCCUUCUUGGUCCUAGGGUAUGUAAACCUCUGCUGAGCCCCUUCCUUGGAUCUGACAGUUGACCAAAAGCCUGCGAGUGGCUGGCCCCUCAGUACCUGCUUGAUUAAACUGGCCGGGUUCCUACAAACCUGGAGAAUUGUGAGAGGUGGUGGUGGUGGUGGAAAGUCUUGCAAAGGGACCCAACCUUCAGCUCCUAAUGGCUGUAAACGCUGGGAGCUCUGGCCAGGCACGGUGGCUCACACCUGUAAUCCCAGCACUUUGGGAUGCCGAGGUGAGCAGAUCACCUGAGGCCAGGAGUUCAAGACCAGCCUGGCCAACAUGGCAAAACCCAUCUCCACUAAAAAUACAAAAAUUAUCCAGAUGUGGUGGUCCGCACCUGUAAUCCCAGCUACUCGGGAAGCUGAGGCAGGAUAAUUACUUGAACCCAGGAGGCAGAGACUGCAAUGAGCCGCGAUUGCACCACUGCACUCUAGCCUGGGUGACAGAGCAAGACUGUAUCCAAAAAAAAAAAAAAAAAAAAAAUCCAAAAACCAAAAACCAAAAAAACAAUGGGAGCGGAAAGCCAGGACCCCAUUCUUCCCAGAUUCCCCUGUGGAAGUAGAGGAAGGGACUCUAGAAAGGGAAGGCAGUGACCCCCUGCCCACCUCUUCCCCAAGCUCAGGCUCUGUGUGAUGAGAUCACUUUUCAGGAUUCUAGCCUUUAUCUUAGUCUGGGGGAGGGGACUACAAGUCCUUUCAGUCUCUUUCCUCCAGGACUCCUCACUUUCCAGAAUAAUACCCUGUCAAUAAUAUCCUGUCAACCCUGUCCCUUCUGUUCUCCAGUCCCCUGCCCCACUUCGGGCUGAAAGGCUCAGAAUAAGAGUGCCCAGAGUCAAUGUUUUUUUCCUGCCAUGACUCUCCCCCUCACUCUGCUACUCCACUUCCUGUCCCAAAUCACCCAUCUGCUUUUUUAAAAGCCCCCCUCCAGAGCCAGCUGCAGCCCAAGGGAGAGGCUGGCUGGCCAGACUGUGGGGCAAUGCUGGCCCGUAUCCCAUUCUCACAUCUGCAAGUCCUGACCCUUUCUUAGGUGAGGAACCCAGGGAAUCUCUGGGUCAGGAUCUUUAAGCCCAGCAUUGCCAAAAAGGCAACCUUUAGGUGAGAGCUACUCAAGCCAUGGGCUGGGAACCCCCUUUGGGAGGAGAAGGGCUGAGGCCUGAUUGCUUUUUAGCCCAGCAAAACACGUGUGUGAACCAAACACUCUCCUUUCUCAGUCUAGGCAAACUCUUUAGAUUUUCCCAGGAUUUGGGAGAUUAGGGGUGGGGGUGGGGAGGGGUGCAGGGAAGGAGGUGUGUGACUCAGCUCCUCCCAGGAGCCUUGGUGGGGGACAGGGGACAUAGCGUCCUGCCCCAGUCCUCCUCCCCACUCCACCCCUAGCCUUGGCCAACUCAAACAGGCCCCCUCCCUGUCCAUUCCCUGCUCCUGUUUACACCGGGAGCCCCUUAGUCAUUCUUUGGCUGGCCUUUCUACUCUCCCCAAUAUCCCUCCUCUCUUGGCUCUUUCUGCCCUUAUAAGUCCUCUCCCAGUGGCCCCAACACCUCCUGCCUUUCCUCUCACCAUGCCUGCCUUUGCCUGAUCCUCUCUUCCUCUGCUCUGGGUUCGUCCUUAACUUGGGGUCCCCUCCUAAUUAGAGCUACUUCAGCACAGACCUCCAGGCCUGGAAGCUGACCUAGAAAGGCCAGUGAGGAGGGGAUAGAAGCCAUCAGUCCAAUCUUCUCCUUCAGAAGAGGAAAUGGGUGUAGAGAGAUGAAGUGAUUUGUCCAGGGUCAUAUGGCUAGCCAGUUAGCGGUGAGCCUAGAACCUAAGUGUUUAGACUCCAGACCCAGUGCCUUCUCCUCUAAGCCCACUGCCCCUCUAAAUGAUCUAUCUCCUCUCAGCUUUUUCUUUCUAUCUUGUAUAUCUCUCAGCCUUUCUCUGGCCAAGUUUGUGUGUCUCCAAGUGCCUCUGCUUUUUCUCUUAAACCUGACCUCUUUGGUACCCUCUGUCCCUUCAUUGCUCAGUAGGAAUGAUUUGCUGUGAUGACUGACCAUUAUUAAUCAUGGUCUGCUUGAUGGAGAGGAAGAAGGGUGAAGGGCAAGGCCAGGACACUCAGCAGGCUCCUGUUGUCGCCAGCCUGCUUGCCCUGAAGGCUGGAGUUUUAGAACCACAAGAGUGAAUUUCCACAGAGGAGUUCAGGAUACAGGUGCAAGUUCUAAC
rnacentral:lncRNA from 1 species